GAUUGUUUCCAUGUCUUAUUUUUUAAGGAACUUUUCCACUGUUUUCCACAGUGGCUGCACCAAUUUACAUUCCCACCAACAGUUUAGGAGGGUUCCCUUUUUUCCACACCCUCUCCAGCAUUUAUUAUUUGUGGUCUUUUUGAUGACGGCCAUUGUGACCAGUGUGAGGGCAUACUCAUUGUGGUUUUGGUUUGCAUUUCUCUAAUUGUCUGGUCCCUCUGUGUGAUUUCUCUCAAUUCUUGCCCACAUGCAGCAAGGAUUUGGAGGUGUGGGCAGUCUGGCAGGGGGACUAUUCCGGCUGGGAAAUGUGGGGAUCACAAUCGAACUCAAAUGGUAGUAGUGUAUAGCAAAUUUUAUUUAUGCCCUCAGAGAGAGAGCAGGCCACCCUGGAGUACAGACUGGCUCUGGUCACAGCUGGGUCUUUCCUUAUAUCCGCAUACAGUGAAUGUAGUUGGGGACCUGAAUUUUCCUGCCCUGAGCCCCACUCAUUUUCCUGUCCCAGCCCUGCUGCACCAUCUCUAAGGGCAGUGUUGUUUGAUCUCUGUAUGAGGGUGCAUUUUGAUCCUCUGGUUGUUUUCAGGCUGGAUACCUUAUUAGCAUGAGGAACAGGUUAUAUAGAGGCAAGGUAAGGAAUGGGUGACAUUUCUUCCCUAACAGGGAGUGAGCAGCCCAGGUUGCUCAAGGUGGGGGAAGGGGUAUUACAAUGAAACCUGGUCAGUGGCUUUUGGGUUUGAUCUUCUUGAUGGGGACUUGAAGCCUAUAACAUGAUAAUUGGCGAUAUUGAGCAACUUUUCAUGUGUGUGUUGGCCAUCUAGUGUCUUCUUUGGACAUUGUCUGUUUAGGUCUUCUACCCUAAAAUGGGCAUAUUAAUGCAUGACUCCGUGGAGUUAUGGUAAGAAUUGACCAAGAUGGACUUAGUGUUUCCCUCAACUUGACUAGAGUUUGGGCAGGCUUCUUUCUGCCCCUUGGCCCUUGACCUCACCCCAGACAUCCUAUGAUCCUUGCACCCUAUUCCACCUCUUAAAAACCCUACCACCCUUUGAUUCAUUGGAGAUAAGUUGAGAUUGAGUUAUGAAGAAAAAUGUGGAAGUCCUGACUAUUAUAAUCCUUCCAGGAAUACAUAGACAGAAGAGAAUAUGUUCAGAGAAUUCUUGAUUUUCUUUUUCCAACAAAAGAAAAACUCAGGGGUAAAGGAGAGAAUGGGUCUUACACAAAACUUUGAGUUAUUCAAAACUCUGGCAAUGCAUCAUAAGCCAUGGGGUGGGCACUAAACUAAAAGCACCAAGAUUAAUAAUUUUCUGAGCCAAAGUACCUGAAGAAGUCAGAGGCCUCAGAAACCUGCUGAAGGGCACUGAGAAUAGAUACAUUUUAUAAAAUUCCUUUAAAAGGCUACUGGUCCACACCCUUUUGUGCUUUGGAUUAUUCCCAGUGUUUACUGUAGAAAGGGAGAGAUUAGAGAUGAAAUAUAUAGUCAUAGUUAAUAUCUCACCUCCCUUCCAUCAUACCAAAAACAAACAAACCCAAACAUGCCUUACCUACCAACUUAGCUAUUUUCAUUUUCAUCUAUUCUUAAUUUGGGACUGGAGCUGUGGUCAGCAGGGGUUCAGUAAAUGAUUUUCCUCACAAUAGCACUGCUGCUCUCUGCCUCACUGCUUUUUUCCUUGAGGGCAGAGAUGUCUAGGAAUCUCAUCCUGGCACUAUAUUCCUUGGUUGUUGGUUUUCUUCGACUCCCCUCCUCUCCCUGACAGGAAAUAGGAGGACCUAGGUGAUACUUUUUCCCAAGCUACGGCUACCAUAGCAAUGAAUAUGCACUGGGGUAAGAUAAGCCGUGUUACCAGGCUGUAGAGUCUUCCUUCAAAAUAUUUGAUGGAUUAAUUCCCAGAAACCUGCUUGCUCUGAGAUAAGGAGUGUGUGAGAGUGUGGUAGAGGAGUGUGGGGGUGCAGAUGGUGGUGGCCAUUUCUCAUUCAGUCACAACUAUUGGCUGAAAAUUAUCAUUACAAACAUACGUGUCACACUAUUCAGGGCUACAGAAUGCCUGGGAGAGAACUGAUCUAGAAUGAGGGUAUAUAUGAUAAACAAUAGGUAUCAGCAGGAGAGAGAGGCAGCACUGGGCUCCCCCUGACCCCAGAGUCACGGUAUCUCUCUUUUUUAUCCUCUUUGUCAUAGUCAAGUUCAAAGAGAUUUAGCACACAGGGACACCAGGCUGUCAGCUGAAUCUUCACUUAGACUUGAACUUCCAGCCUGAAUCUCUUUAUGUUUCUCUAUGGUAAACCAGACUGGGCAAUACCAACAGUGACGAUUUGAAAAUUGUCUGUUUACCUUUAAUUUAUUCUGCCUUACUUUGUCCAUAAGUGCAUCUGUUUCUGUCAGAGCAGGCCCCAGAUGAGCUGGAUGCUCCUCUUGCUACUUUAAGCUUUCGGUUUCUAAGAGCCAGCUCACUCCUCUGUCCUCCUUCCUCCCCUCUCAGAAUACAUGCACACAUGGAAUCCUCUGUCAGCUCCUAAACAUUUUUAUAUUUAGAGUUAUUAACCUUAGUAUCCUGUUGCUAAACAUAUAGCUCCUCUGUUAUGAAGCCUAUGACUGGGCAAUAGCCUUCUUUGUAUUUGACUGAAGUAGGUGAUUAAGUUCUUGGUAGUGAAAAGUAAGAAAAUGUGUUGUAUAGAAAUCAUGGGAAGUCUCUUUCUUCCCUUCCACUUUUCUGAUACUGAUGCUUAAAAUGUGGCUGUGAUAGCUGGAACUCCAGCAGCCUUUUUGGAGUAUGAUGAUGAAGGCUACAUCCUAGCAAUCACAGAAAGAGUCUAUGUCUCUGGUGGACAUGGAGCUAUUAUUCUAGUCUGGUCCUGGACUCUUUCAUACUUUUUUUUUUUCUUGUGUGUAUGACAAAUAAACUCUUAUUAGCUAUUUCAUCUCCAGUUGGAAUAUUUUUAAAUCUUAUUUUAACUACAAUAUGUGAGCAUGUGCUAACAUGCUGAGUUUACUUUUCUCCUGUUGUUAUUCUAUUCUCCUGUUGUUAAAUUUCUGUGACAACUCCUAAUAUCUUUAUGUAUCUUCCUCUAUUUUAAAUUUUCCCUUAAAUAAACUUUAGUGGAAAUCACUGUUCCAGGAACUAUGCCAGGCUACUGGAAAACAAUGGUUAAUCUAUAAUACUUCAUGGCUGUGAGGCAUUCACCUGAACUCCAUUCCAAAGAAGUACAGGAGAAUGACAUCGGGUGAAUGUCACUACCACCCAAAUCAGCUUUGCUCUUGGCAUAUAGAAAGAGUAGGUCUGUCUCUGGCCUUGAAAAAAAAAUGUAGUAUAAUAGAAAAGGAGAACAGAAAGGCUUAAAAUAAUGAAUGUUUAUAGGCAUCCAGGGAGAAUGAAAUUAGUGUUUCUUUUCUUUUCAGGCUUAUUGUUGAAAAAUUAAUAAUCUUCUGGAGGUCUGCUAUUAAAAUAGACUUAGCAGUGACCUCAUAGAGAGCCCUAAAACUUACAAAUUGUGUUCCCUCUUGCCUUCACUGGUUGGGUGCAAUCCAAAGUGCGUCGAUUAUGAAUGGUCUAACUUUUGCAAAACAGCUUUUCUUUUCUCUAAUUUUUGCAGUUGCUUUAAAAAAAAAAAAAAA
rnacentral:lncRNA from 1 species